GUAUAUGAUACCUCUUAGGGGUCUUUGACUCCAUCCACACCUGUGCACUGUUAAUUGUUAGCUCCCUUUCGGAAUUGGGUACUGAGGGUUUAUUAGGAGUCGUCUCUCUGGGCUUCGCCUACCGGAAGGGUAGCACUUAAUACCUACUUUGUUUUUGUUAUUAGUCUGAAUGUUAUGGCUCUUCGAGCAACUUAACA
rnacentral:misc_RNA from 1 species